rnacentral:rRNA from 1 species
CCUACGGGAGGCAGCAGUCGGGAAUUUUGGGCAAUGGGGGCAACCCUGACCCAGCAACGCCGCGUGAGGGAUGAAGGCCUUCGGGUCGUAAACCUCUGUCAGGAGGGAAGAAGGUGGCCGGGGAAAACAUUCCCGGUCACCUGACGGUACCUCCAAAGGAAGCACCGGCUAACUCCGUGCCAGCAGCCGCGGU